GCUGUGCCAUGUGGCUUACGAGAUGUUAGUUCCCCGACCACGGAUCAAACCCGGCUCCUCGGCAAUGAAGGCAUGGAGUCCUAAGCACUGGACCGCCAGGGAAUUCCCAAUAUAUUUUUAAAAUAUAAAGACAUUUUAUUUGAUUUAUUUUUUGGCCGUGCCACACAGCAUGUGGGAUCUUAGUUACCUGACCAGGGACUGAACCCACGCCCCCUGCAGUGGAAGCGCAAAUCUUAACCACCUGACCACCAGGGAAAUCCCAAGCCAGAUAUUCUUGCUCAUAUAUUGCGGCCCUUCUCCACGUAAGGAAGUCUUUUACGUGAGUUUGUACAUGUCAUUUGACAGGUCCAAAGUCAUGUUCUAUAGUGAGUCUUCACCAACUCAGAAGAACAAAUACAAUGCUAGAAGGAGCUCAUGGGAUGCAUGAGCUCCUUCUGUUUUCCAAGGUUCCAGAAUUACUUGGAGUGAGUUUAGAAAGCUUAAAUAAGGUCGGUGUUAAGGUUGUUUACAGAGACCCUCGUUCCUCAAACAGCUUCCUGUAAUUACCCCACGAAUAAGAAUAACCAAUGCGUGUCCGUUUGGGCCUCUUCCUCAGCAUGAGGCCCAUGAUGAAGCCAUGAGGACAUGGUAAGAACAUAAUGUGCCUCCCAUCAUUGCCCAAGGACUCCAGGACAGGUUUCUCUCUCUGACCUCUGCUUACCAAGACUCCCACGUGGAGGAGGGAGAAACAGCAAGAAUCACUGCCCCCAAAUGUUAGCUAUCGUUACCAGUGGAAAAGGGGACUGGUGGAGGAGGGGUGGAAGAUUUCUCUUUUAAAUAUGCACUUGUGUAUUGCUUGAAUUCUGUUAAACAAACUAUUUCAUAACCCCUUCUACUGCACACAACCACUCCUUGGAUCAAGAACCACUCACCGAGAAGACCAAGACUGAGGCGUGAGCAGAGGACCCACUUGCCUGGAUGCGAUCAACUUGCUAAAAGCAGACGGGAAUAAGGAUCUCUACAGUGGGCAAUCUCUCACCUAAAAUACUACAAUCGACUUAAAGCCCUUCCGGAUUAAAAAAGACCAGAAGGAGUUAUGCUGAUGGGGAGAAAGCCACAUCACGAAAGAGUCUUUGACCCCACUCACAAGAAAGAUAUUUUUCAAGAUAUAUCCAUUAGUAUUUUUAAAAAGUCAUUCCUCAAACCUUAGCUGCACCCAACAUAACAAAUAAAAAGAUACAAACCUUGUUGAGGCAGUCUUCGCAGUAAAGUGAGCCCUUUAAACAAACCGGAGGUACCACAUUUAGGUGCAAAGAGUUGGUGCAUAAGUGAGGCGUUAGCUCCGACUGUGAAAUGUGCUCUUCCAAGUGCCCAGGAGCCCCACUUGUGAAAUCAGAACAGGGGAAAUAGCCAGCGGAGGAGGUGCAGCCCUGGAGAGCUGGAAACUGAUGCAGCUUGUGCACAUUACCAUGACAUGACUGGAAAUGGAGCUUUCCACAACAGGGCAGGUGUUUGCAGGGAGAGAGAUUACUUUCUAGACACAUGCUGGGAAAGUCACUUGCAACGCUGGCCAAACUGUUCCUAGCUGAGGCACUCUGGAGUGAAGAUGCAGACUGGAAAGCAAACCCUGACCCCACCUGACACGUGACUGUCCUGGUGCUUUGCGAGUCUAACAGUGCGCCUGGGGGAAUCAAGCUACCAGUCCCACCGCCACCGCCACCACCAAAACGCAUUGGCGAAGUGGAGGGGUCAUUAGGGCAAUGGGCACAGCAGCUUACUUUGGGGACAGUUGAAAGCUGUAUUUUAGGUUGCUGAAGAGAAUGGAUAUCUGGAAGUGGGACUGCUGGAAAAAGUUUAGAGCCAGCAUGAAGGGGAGAUGGUACAUCCUUUAAUUCCACAGCAGCUUUCUUGUUCUCCAUGUAAUCUUUCUGAGAAAAGAAAACCAGAACACAAAUUAAUUUUAUGAGGCUAGUGACUUGGGGAUACUCACAUCUGAUUGCAUUAAAAAAUGGAAACAGUGUUCAAACCUAUCUACAUCACUCCGUCAUAACCACACAAAAUCACAACCACAAAAAUGGAAUGGCAGCUAAAACCAGGAGCAUUCUUCAGCAGGAGGUGAACAUUGAAACAGACAACUAAAAUUACAACUGUGUCCUUCCUGAAUUUUAAGAGACUUGGGGAGGGGGUCUGUUUACAUAUUCAA